rnacentral:rRNA from 1 species
AAUGAACGCUGGCGGCGUGCCUCAGACAUGCAAGUCGAAAGAUUAAAGCUCUCUUCGGAGAGUGCAUAGAGUGGCGCACGGGUGAGUAACACGUAAGUAAUCUACCCUCGAGUGGGGAAUAACAUCGGGAAACCGAUGCUAAUACCGCAUAAUGCAGCGGCACCGCAAGGUGACAGUUGUUAAAGAUUUAUCGCUUGAGGAGGAGCUUGCGGCAGAUUAGCUAGUUGGUAAGGUAAUGGCUUACCAAGGCUACGAUCUGUAACCGGUCUAAGAGGACGGUCGGUCACACUGACACUGAAUAACGGGUCAGACUCCUACGGGAGGCAGCAGUCGGGAAUUUUGGGCAAUGGGCGAAAGCCUGACCCAGCAACGCCGCGUGAAGGAUGAAGUAUUUCGGUAUGUAAACUUCGAAAGAAUAGGAAGAAUAAAUGACGGUACUAUUUAUAAGGUCCGGCUAACUACGUGCCAGCAGCCGCCGCAGUAAU